AUCCUGAGUAUCACGGUGAAAGUGGACUGCUGCUGUGACAUUGAGCAUUCAAACCUGCUUUCUGAUUUGGAGGAAAUCCUUUACUGUGUGAAUCUCCAUGGGAUGCUGAGUCCUGCCUUCCACUAAAGAAGAUGAAGAGGAUCAGGUAUCUCUCUUGCCAGGGAGAGCUUCUGCGAUCCUGAACCUCCAAUUUCCUCUGGGAUCUAGUGUUAAUUUUUGCAGCCUUCUUGUUAUCCCGCAGUGUCUUUUGUUUUGCUUUAAGGCAGCCACCCAGGAGCAUUUAUCAAGCACUGCACAGUUUAACUGCCUAUAAAGAUGGGGCCUAGGCUAUUUACUUACCGGAUUGGUAAAAAUUGGUAAUUGGGAUAACAGUUUUCCCUUUCCAAUAGCGGGUACAGCUGGCACAUUUCUUGCCAGGUUGGAAAAUAUCAGUGAGCUGUUUAAUAUGCUUAUACUAUAUCUCUUUUAAGAGAAAUUUGAAGCUAGUGAAUGAAAAAUGGAAGCCUGCUUAGUGCUGGUAGAGCAGUUGCCA
rnacentral:lncRNA from 1 species